rnacentral:rRNA from 1 species
GACGAGCGCUGGCGGCGUGCUUAACACAUGCAAGUCGAACGGAAAGGCCCUGCUUUUGUGGGGUGCUCGAGUGGCGAACGGGUGAGUAACACGUGAGUAACCUGCCCUUGACUUUGGGAUAACUUCAGGAAACUGGGGCUAAUACCGGAUAGGAGCUCCUGCUGCAUGGUGGGGUUGGAAAGUUUCGGCGGUUGGGGAUGGACUCGCGGCUUAUCAGCUUGUUGGUGGGGUAGUGGCUUACCAAGGCUUUGACGGGUAGCCGGCCUGAGAGGGUGACCGGCCACAUUGGGACUGAGAUACGGCCCAGACUCCUACGGGAGGCAGCAGUGGGGAAUAUUGCACAAUGGGCGGAAGCCUGAUGCAGCAACGCCGCGUGCGGGAUGACGGCCUUCGGGUUGUAAACCGCUUUCGCCUGUGACGAAGCGUGAGUGACGGUAAUGGGUAAAGAAGCACCGGCUAACUACGUG